rnacentral:rRNA from 1 species
AUUGAACGCUGGCGGCAUGCCUUACACAUGCAAGUCGAACGGCAGCACGGGUGCUUGCACCUGGUGGCGAGUGGCGAACGGGUGAGUAAUACAUCGGAACAUGUCCUGUAGUGGGGGAUAGCCCGGCGAAAGCCGGAUUAAUACCGCAUACGAUCUACGGAUGAAAGCGGGGGACCUUCGGGCUUCGCGCUAUAGGGUUGGUCGAUGGCUGAUUAGCUAGUUGGUGGGGUAAAGGCCUACCAAGGCGACGAUCAGUAGCUGGUCUGAGAGGACGACCAGCCACACUGGGACUGAGACACGGCCCAGACUCCUACGGGAGGCAGCAGUGGGGAAUUUUGGACAAUGGGCGAAAGCCUGAUCCAGCAAUGCCGCGUGUGUGAAGAAGGCCUUCGGGUUGUAAAGCACUUUUGUCCGGAAAGAAAUCCUUGGCCCUAAUACGGUCGGGGGAUGACGGUACCGGAAGAAUAAGCACCGGCUAACUACGUG